rnacentral:rRNA from 1 species
UACGAAGGGGGCUAGCGUUGCUCGGAAUCACGGGGCGUAAAGCGCCCGUAGGCGGACUCUUAAGUCGGUGGCGAAAUCCUGGAGCUCAACUCCAGAACUGCCUUCGAUACUGGGAGUCUCGAGUCCGGGAGAGGUGAGUGGAACUGCGAGUGUAGAGGUGAAAUUCGUAGAUAUUCGCAAGAACACCAGUGGCGAAGGCGGCUCACUGGCCCGGUACUGACGCUGAGGUGCGAAAGCGUGGGGAGCAAACAGG